UUGGGAUUGUCCUCUGAUGACAGAGUGCCCUGCCUCCUGAUGGAGUGACGCUGGGAUUAGAGGUGGGAUGGAGGAUGCCUGCUCACACCUCCCAGAUCAUUCACCAGGGGGCAGGGCCAGGCCAUCAUCCCACUGCGUUCAUCUUGGCCAGGUGCGAUGGCUCACACCUGUCAUCCCGGCACUUUGGGAGGCCAAGGCAGGCCAAUCACUUGAGGUCAGGAGUUUGAGACCACUCUGGCCAACAUGGUGAAACCCCCUCUCUGCUAAAAAUACAAAAAUUUGCUGAAUGUGGCGGCACGUGCCUGUAAUCCCAGCUACUUGGGAGGCUGAGGCAGGAGAAUCACUUGAACCUGGGAGGCGGAGGCUGCAGUGAGCCAAGAUCGCGCCACUGCACUCCAGCCUGGGCUACAGCGUGAGACUCUGUGUCUCAAACAAACAAACAAACAAAGUUUGAAACCACUGUGUUCAUCUCACACCUUGCAGAGAGAUAUAUGCCCAGGAUGGGGCUGAAUAAAAAGCUAAUAAUAAUAGCCACCACCUGUGGAGAGCUUCUCUUGGACCACGCAUUCUGCUAAGUCCUUCUCUUGUAUGAGGGACAAGACCAUGGAUGCAGCACAUGGCCACAAGGCAGUUUCAAGAUGCCCAUGUCAGGCAGAGGAUGGCUCAGUGGUCUCUAACCCACCUAACAUUUCAUGAACUUUACUCCUGGUCCCGCUCCCAAAUUAGACACUGGAGAUAAUGGAUCACUAUACUGCACUGAAGACUCGGAGGGGUUGAGCCGCUGGAGCCACGCAAAUUCAGACACCUCUUCCGCCCCAGGUCACUCUACUCGCCCACGCUGCCUGCCACACCCAUCCGGUUGUGCGGGACACUCCCCGCGUUUCUUCAGCGAUUCUUAUCGGGCUCCCUCCUUGUUCAAUAAAGGUGAAGGGUGUGGGGUUUUCUGUGCAUACGCUCAGGAAGUUGAGUCCCGGUGAAACGUGUCAGGUUGCCAUUUCCCAGGCUGGAAAGAUUUUCCCAGGACGGGUAUGAAUAGACGAUGAAAGUGCACACUCUUACCCGGCUGCCCGACCCAGGUGCCAGGCUUCUGACUCAGGACCAUCUGUGGGUGCGAGUGCAGGGAGGUGAGUCACUGCAGCCUUGCUCAGUCCCCCUGCAGAGGUCAGAUCCUGGGCCCCAAAAGCUGCUCCAGGAUGAAAGCCUGCUCUCAGUGAGACUAAAAUCCUGGUCAUUUGUGUUCUGCAGUCAUGAGCAUGUAACCCUAAUGUAGAACAACAACUUAGCCAAUGACUAUUUUUUCUGUUCAUGCCACAGUACCUGAAGGAGAAUUGCUGCUUCUCUUAAUGGUGCCUGCCACCCAACCCAAUAGUUAGCAUGUGAACGUCUUGCUUGAGAUCAGCUUCUGGGUGUAAAAAUAAAUUUAAAUAUAGAAAAUUCAAAUAACACCCAUUCAUUUAUCAAAGAUCUCAAAUGUUCUAUGAUCAAGGCAAAAAUCUAGUAGCCAAACAGAGGGUUCCCUAGCUGGUUUGACAGCCACACAGAAGGAUGGUUUGUACACAGCCACUAUUUUUCUAGAAGCCAGGGUAGCUUAUGUUUGGGACAUAUAUAAAAUACAAGGUAAAGGCUCUUUGAUUUGGGGAGGGAUGAUGGGAGGGGAAAUAAAGGCAUAAACAUGAAGUAACAAGGGAAGUCAAAAAUUCAGGUAGAUAAGGCGAGAGCUGACGCUGUUGCAAUCCAUUCUUCAUUCCCCAUACGUGAGUUGCCUGAGGUUUCUGAGGUCACAGAAGCUGUGAUGAACAUGAUUCAGUAGGAAGCAAGCAGGAAUAGGAGCCAGAAUCCUGAGUUCUCCUCUCAGCUCUGAUGCUGACACUGUGAUCUUAUUAUGUAAGAUUAAAUAAAAAUCGUGUUUUAGACACGUAGGCAGAGAAAAAGUCACCAUGCUGAAAUUGGCCAAGGGACUGAACAGAACCUGUUGCGUAGGAUCUUUUCAUGAUUCUAAGUUCUACAGGAGUUAGACACAAUAUCUGAACGGUCUCAGGUCUCUAUCUUUAAGAUACUAGAACUCAGGAUUGAACUGGAAUUUGAAGCAGAAUACUCUGUUUGCUGAGUGCUGAGUUCUGCCAAGAGAUAAAUUUUUCUCCAGCCUCUGCAGACAGAGGCACCCUGAGCUCCUGGGAUCUGGGGCAGCAGCCUCAGGGCUGUCCUGGAUUUGAACGGCAAGUACAGAAUUGCACCCAUCCUCUCAGUAAACCUGAGCAGUAGACAUCCCCAUGCCCACUUUAGAAAGAGGGAGGUUAAAGCUCCCAUGUGUUAAUCAGUUCUCAUGGUUAGAAACUUCUGGAGCUGGCAUUUGAGAGAUCUGUUGGACUCUGAAGCACAUCUGUCUUCUCAUUUAAGCCCUGUUCUAGGCAUUUGCCCAUACAGGGUGUGAGACUGGGCUUGUCAGUAACGUCCCUGCACUUGUAGAAACAGGACAGAAGAGGCUGCUGGCAUGGGCCACCACACAGGCAAUGGGCUAAGAAAGAACAGUCAGGAUGCAAGAGAGAAAUUUCUCCGAGUUCAUAACCAGCCGAUUGUGCAGGUGCAAACUUUGUGAUCUGUGCACACCAAAGAUCAUUUCCGUAUUUGCCUUGUAGCUGCCACUGUUGUUGUUUGCUAGGGAAAGGUGAUAGUCCCUUGAAAACCUGUUCUGUUGCCCUGAGGCCACUUGAUAUCCAAAGUUUUCUUCAUCCCUCAACCACAGCAAGCACUGACCCUCACAGUGACAGAGUGUGGGCAAUGCACUCUGCACUCCUGAGUUACACAAAUAAGGAUUGAUUUGAUCGUUUCAAAACAAGGAGGUCACUGCAAAAUUCAACAAAUGCUCAGUAAUGCCAUUUUCUUCGCUGAGAGCUCCUCCUCUGCCAGCAGUACAUGUCCCUCUCUAAGAAAAGGACUCUCAGAAGUGGGCAGAUCGUAAGAGCUAUGACUGAUGAUGAAGCAAAGAUGAAAAUCGUCUUCAUGACUUGCAUGUGCAGCAGAGGAAACCACAAGUUAUUCCCUGCAAGCCGGAAGCGGGCGGAUGUUUUCAUGGCCAAAGCCAGCAGUCCCCAUUUCUGUCUGUCAUAUUUUAGGGUAACUUGAUGGAAGAGAGGGAGCAGGUGGCAGGGACAGCAAAGCACAGGCACCUUCUAGAAACAGUGAAGGGCUCAAGACAUCCUGAGAAUGCCAACUGGGUGCAUGUGUCUGCUUUUGACCCACCCCAGAUCUUUCUGUUUCUGAGUCCUGUACACCUGCAACAAGGGUAGGAGGGUAGUUUUUUAAAUCGUUUUCCCUGUUUUACAAAGAAGAAAUUACAAUUACAAUCUGGAUCCCAUGGGGCUGUGACAUACAUCACCCACCUUUGUGCCAGGACUGGGGCUAAGCUCCUUGCAGAUACAAUUUUUAAUCCUGACAAUCUUCCAGCACAUUUGCUAUCCUCAACCCCAGUUUUACAAAUGACAAACUGAAGCAGAGGGAGGUGAUGAAGCAGCUGCAUCAUAUUUGAACACAAUUCUCCCAGUUAAAGGUGCAUUUCCAUGCAUUUGCUCUUGAGAGCUCCUCACCAACUCGCGAAUUUAGGAAGAUGAGAAUUUCUCCUUCAGAUACGUAGUGUGUUGGCCCACAUCACAGAGCUAGUAGGGAGCUGGGUUCUGGAACCCAGGCCUUUGAGCUUCGGUGCAUUUAAUUUGUUGCUGAGAUCUGAAUAUUUCCUUGUGACUGAUCAUGAAAACGUGAUGAAAUGGAAAAGAGUUACUAAAAGGAAUGGUGGACGUGGGACUGGAAACAAAACAACGUGCCUCUAAGUUAGCCAUUGGGGUAAAAGUGGAGCGAGGUCAGAGGCUCGUCAGGACUGUACUGGGCACGGCCCUGGCCUCCUCACUCACUGCCCACAGCAGCCCUCCCAGGGGACUGCACUGGUGGAGGAGGGGCAGACCCAGUCUGCCCUCGGAUGGGACGCAGGGAUUCAAAGUCCAUUUUUCCAUCUGAAACACUGACUGCAUCACACGUUACCUUUAACUGGAAAAAGACAACAUGCACUUUGCAAUGUUCUGCGUUAAGAUGAAUACAUGAUGAACAGUGACAGCUUAACUGUCUGGUUGACCUUGAAGAAAAAAAGACAACCAUUCUGUUUUAAUGUAGUCAAAUAAACAUCAAGUGGCUUGCAAGUAAAAAGCAGGAAAAGGCAGCACUUUGUGAAAAAGGAGGUUUGGGAUUUGUAAACGUUUUAACGAGUCAUCUGGGAAAACCCGAGGUGUGUCUCCUGUGCAAAAGACUCACAUCCGGAAUUACAAAGGUUUUGCAUUUAGCACAGAAGUGAUGCGUCGAAACACCCGAUUGUUUAAAUUUUAAUGACAAACAAAAAACGUGCUUUAAUAAGAUUUCACUUUCAUUUCCCUGAGUAGCUAUGUUCUGGGGCCUGUGAAUCUUCUUGGAGCAUUAAAUGCAUUUGUCAAUUUGGGGGGUAGCCUUUCAAUUAAUAUGAAGUCAAAAUAAAAGGACACUCACAGGUCCUUUCUUUCCCAGGUGGGGGUUCUUCCUGGUGUUGUACUAUUGAGAACUGAAUUGACAGGUGUGUGGACAUCCCUGGUCAUUGUCUUCUGCUGUCUAACCACGUCGUCUUUCCCAUAGGCUUUCCAUCUACUGAGAAAGGGGAGAAGGAAGAGAAUGAAAUGGAAAAUGAGUGAUUGGUCUUAUGUAAACCCUUCUAGGCAAAACAGGAACCAGAGGGGGUCUGAUAUUUUGGAUCAAAUGAGUUGCUGGUUUUAUUUAGAGAUCCUGCUUAGAAUUAAUGCGUCCAUGCUGUUGGAGAAGAGAGCAAAGUAGUGACAACAUCAGGCUCAUUGUUCAUUCAUUCAUUCAUUCAUACAUUGAGCAUUCCUAGGGGCUGAGGAGUCAAGAGCCAUUAAAUUUUAUCCAGUAAUCUUCCCUUAUCUGCGGAUUCGCCUUUGGCAGUUCCAGUAGCCUGUGGUCAACUGAUGUCCCAAAAUAGGUGAGGUCUCAAAAUAGGUGAAUACAAGAAGAAAUUUAGAGAGAGAGAGAGGAAGAGAGAGAGAAAGAGAAAGAGACCACAUUCACAUAACUUUUAUUAGAGUAUAUUGUUGUAAUUGUUUUAUUUUAUUAUGUUAUAGGUGAUCUCUUACUGUGCCUAAUUUAUAAAUUACACUUUAUCACAGGUAGGUAUGUAUAGGAAAAAUCAUAGUAUAUAUAUAUAGGAUUUGGUGCUUCCAUACUUUCAGGCAUCCACUGGGAGUCUUGAAACGUGUCGCCCUGGGAUAAGGGGGACAACUGUAUGCACAAUUCUUUGUCCAAAGGACUCAUCCUCCAGGGAGGAAGGGAGAAGGGUGAAGAUGCUCAGAGUACAGGUGGCCACUGGCUCUCCCAGGACAUUCCAUCCAUUUCUGGAACGUCAUUAUGCUUCAGGGAGGUCAUACCGGACACUCACUACUGCUCAACAGCUAAGCAGUAGAAAUGAAAACAGAUGUUCUUUGUACCUUGUUCAGCUCUACCCUGAGUAUUCUAUGGUAGAAACUUCAACCCUUGUCCAUAAAUGGGGACAUUCCGCUGCCUCUUUCUCUCACAGGUGUCAUUUCUGAGCAGGGAAGGUGUGAUCUGGGGCCAGAAUGAAUGGCCCUGGUGACUUCUUACCUGAUUCAUCCCACACCAGUCAGAAGGGGCUGUGAAGGCAGCAGCGAAGGAGCCACACAUGGACGUGGAAUGGGCACGCUGACCAUCAUGGUCACGACUGCAAGAAAGCAGGUACUGAGCCCACUUCUGUCUGAAGACUGUGAUAUUGAGCUGAGGCCACACACACACACACACCCACACACACACACACACACACACACAGCCUUUGCUUCGAAAGGACCAGGUCCCUCAUCAUGCAUUGUCAACAAUACAUAAAAGCUGAAAGGCGCCUCACACUCGGGCUCACGCUCCGCAAGUAGCCAACAUGCAAGAAGAGACAGAGGGGCUUCCAGCAUGGUGCCUGACACCUGGAGACACCCACUACUUACUGUGUGGGUGAAUGAAGAAAAUGCGUACCUGGCUCCAGAAUGGCCCAUUGCUGGUUGGCAUGGGGUUCCGUUGCUUAGAGGUGAGAGGGUGAGUAUGGGCUCCACUGGAAGACAAUAGGGCAUAGAUGUGGUUCGGCCACAUAUUUCAUCAAGGUGCACCUGUGACUUCUGCAGCAUCUAAUUUGAGAAAUUGAUAAAAUGGCUAAACAGUGUAUAUUAUGGUAGUCGGAGAGAUGAGUUGGUUAUAACCCCGGCUCUUUCUUGCAGGGCUGCGUGGGUUAAUUGGCUGUGUCUGAGGGUCACCCCUGCACAAGGAGGAUGAUGACGACUGCCCUGUGCAACCCUGGGUCAUCUCAGGGGAGAGCCAUUCCCAGGUUCACAGCAAGCACUCUUUUACUCAGAUGGGCCACCUGCAUCAGGCCCCAAGGAAGCACUUAUUAGUAGAAGAAAAAAAACAAAAACCCAGAAAACAGCCAGUGAGACUAUUUUACAAACAAGCGAAGAGCAGCAACUGAAAGCAACAAUAACUACAACAUAAAUCCCUCUGCAAAUAUUUGGGAUUUCAUUUCCACUAAGGAUAAUGAUGGCGUAGAAGGCAUGUCUGUGGGAGUUAUGCACACAGGGAAAAAGGUGGUGAAAAUAAUCAACCAAAAAUAACAAAAUUCAAUUAAUCAAAACAGAACAAAAUAAAAUGAGCCAAACAGCAUAUCUGAAUAUAAGCAUAAUAAUUGUCGUUGGACAAACCUUUGUCAAAUCAAAUUGGCUUCUAGCACACGGGCUGAUACUUUGUGAUUCAAGUGGUGUUCUACCCACAUAAUUCAUUUAGUUGCAAAGAAUGUAACAAAUAAUGCAAUUAUUCCAGAGGAUCACGGUGAGACAUCUAUUUGGUGGUGCCUUAAGCAGAGUGCCCUGAUUCAGAAGAAUUAGACCAAUCUCUGGAUUCACAGCCACUCAUGAAAACUGUAGGCCGGGCACGGUGGCUCAUGCCUGUAAUCCCAGCACUUUGGGAGGCCAAGGCGGGUGGAUCACGAGGUCAGGUGAUCGAGACCAUCCUGGCUAACAUGGUGAAACCCCGUCUCUACCAAAAAUACAAAAAGAAAUUAGCUGGGAGUGGUGGCGGGCACCUGUAGUCCCAGCUACUCGGGAGGCUGAGGCAGGAGAAUCGCUUGAACCCAGGAGGUGGAGGUUGCCGUGAGCCGAGAUCACGCUACUGCACUCCAAUCUGGGUGACCGAGCAAUACUCCGUCUAAAAAAAAAAAGUAAUAAUAAUAAUAAAAUAGGAAACUGCAGUAACUCGGGACAUCUGGGUUCCUUGUCUUUUGUCAAAAUCACAGGGAAUUCAACUCACUGAAUCUAUUGGUCAAUUCAAUUCCGCCAUUGGUCAGUAUGACUCGGCUUUUGACAGAGAGUUUUACCCAAAGACUUGCAGAACUUCCUUCCUGCAAGAUUUCAGAAGCACAGCAAGCAUUGCAAGAGGAAACUACCUUAUAAAUCAUACAAACCCAGCAUCGUGUUCUUUGCUUGUCCUUGCCUGAAUUUACUGGAAAAUCAUGUUGUGAAACCUAAAUGCAAAUGAACCUUUCUUAUUGCAAAUUAAAAACUAAAUCCAUUUUCAACUGAAUUCAAUGGGAAAAACAAGAAUUAUUUUCCUAAAAAGUAAAUAUCCACCACUCCGUAAUAAUUGUGAUCCGCUGUGGCUUAUGUGUCGUGUCUCAGGACAUGGACUCGGUCCUCUGCAUACCUUACCUCUCAUCCUGCAAUAAUCCUGAACAGGUUCCCAUUAUCCCCAUUUUAGAGGUAAGAAAAACACAGCUCUAAGGGUCUAAGUAACAAUCCCAAAGCCAGAAAUCAGUGCAAUCUUUCCUUGUAGGUUCCAUAAAGGAAGACUCCUCAUUGCUCGCUCAGGGUAAAUGUCUACUCUUUGCAAAUGCCAUUCUUAGCAAUCCUUUAAAAACAGUAACUCCUAGAUUGUAGUACUGCUCAAAGUUUCUAAGGAAACUCACAAGCUUAAAGAAAUGGCCGUGGGGUACUUGGGUAAUAGCUUCCCCACUUUCUUAUCCAGGAGCCUGGCUUCCAGGUGUUACCCUAGGCUGGUCAUGAAGAUACGUCCACCUUUUUUUUUGUUUUAAGUUACAGAGUUGCAAAUAUUUUUAAUAUUUUAAAUUGAUAAACCCAAGUUAUUUGAAUGCCAUCUUUAAAGUUUUUGAUUUGUUUUGCUUGUUUGUGCCUUGUCUUGUUUUUAAAACUUUUAUUUUAGGUUCAAGGGUACAUGUGCAGGUUUGUUAUAUAGGUACACUCCUGUCACGGGGGUUUGUUGUAUAGAUUAUUUCCUGAUCCAGUUACUAAACCUACACAUCCUGAAAAGGCAACAUUUCUGAUUCCCUAAGUGCAGGGAGCUCAGUGGGUGGGGCACAAUUGAUUAAUGGUGACCCAGCAGCUGCAGGCAUGCCUUCCCCUCUUAAAUCCUAUAAACCUUUCUCCCAGGGCAGAGAAUGGGACUGGCCUUGUUCCCACAGCUCCCUCCCCUUGCCAUCCUUGAGCCUUGAGAAGGAGCUGCUUACACAGCGAAGAAGGCCGGAAGGUCUGUGCGACAUUCUUUGGUACCAUCUGUGGACAUUACUGUUCCAUGCAGCCGAGGCUCCGUCCAGCGUUCACUGAUCUUACUGUACCUCCCCUCAGAUCUAGGGGAACGUGCUGGGAGCCGCUUCAGAAAUGGGGGACUUUCUUUUUUUUUUUUUUUUGAGAUUUAAAAAACUUUAAUCUCCAAAUUAAGUAUUUCUUUAUAGAACUCUGUUUUAGACAACAAAGAAUGGUAACAUAGUUAAGAGCCCAAACUCUGUGGUCAGGUACAUCUGAGCUAAUGAAUAUACUUAGAAUUCCUGGCAUGUGGUGAGCACUUGGUAGACAUUAUUAUUAUUGUUAUUAAUAAUACCCCAAAUCCAUCCUUCCUCCCAGUUAAUUUCUUUUUUUUUUUCUAUUAUACUUUUAAGUUUUAG
rnacentral:tRNA from 10 species